rnacentral:rRNA from 1 species
UCGCCUGUUUAUCAAAAACAUAGCUAAAUGGUUUUAUAUUUAGUGUUGCCUGCUCAAUGAGAUAACUUAAAUUGCCGCAGUACCCUGACUGUGCUAAGGUAGCAUAAUAAUUUGGCCUAUAAUUGAGGUCUGGAAUGAAUGGAUUUUUGGGUAAAAGCUGUCUUAAUAGAAUUAACUAGAAGUUUUUAAAUAGGUGCAAAAACCUAUAAUCAAAGAAAUUAGACGAGAAGACCCUUAGAGUUUUGAAAAUAUGACUUAUAUUUGGUCUUUGUUUUUGUUGGGGCGACAAAAUUACAUUUAAACUAAUUUUAAUAUUUAUUUAAAACAUGAGAAAAUAAUUUAGGAUGAAUAAGCUACCUAAGGGAUAACAGCAUAAUUUAUUAUUUAGAUUGUGACCUCGAUGUUGGACUAGGAAAUAGUAAAACUAGCAGUUAUAUUAAUUUAGUUCUGUUCGAACUUUUCUCCUACGUGAUCUG